UGGGGAAUAUUGGACAAUGGGGGAAACCCUGAUCCAGCGACGCCGCGUGUGUGAAGAAGGCCUGCGGGUUGUAAAGCACUUUUAGUGGGGACAAAAAGCUACGGACUAACACUCUGUGGUCUUGAUUUAACUCACAGAAAAAGCACCGGCUAACUCUGUGCCAGCAGCCGCGGUAAUACAGAGGGUGCGAGCGUUAAUCGGAAUUACUGGGCGUAAAGCGCGCGUAGACGGUUUUGUAAGUCAGAUGUGAAAUCCCCGGGCUCAACCUGGGAACUGCAUUUGAUACUGCAUGGCUAGAGUACGGUAGAGGGAAGCGGAAUUUCCGGUGUAGCGGUGAAAUGCGUAGAUAUCGGAAGGAACACCAGUGGCGAAAGCGGCUUCCUGGACCAGUACUGACGUUCAUGUGCGAAAGCGUGGGGAGCAAACAGGAUUAGAUACCCUGGUAGUCCACGCCAUAAACGAUGACAACUAGAUGUUGGGAGGGUCUGCCUCUCGGUGUCGCAGCUAACGCGUUAAGUUGUCCGCCUGGGGAGUACGGCCGCAAGGUUG
rnacentral:rRNA from 1 species